UGAACGCGAAGAACCUUACCAGGUCUUGACAUCCUCUGACAACACUAGAGAUAGGGCUUCUCCUUCGGGAGAAGAGUGACAGGUGGUCGCAUAGUUGUCGUCAGCUCGUGUCGUGAGAUGUUGGGUUAAGUCCCGCAACGAGCGCAACCCUUGAUCUUAGUUGCCAUCAUUAAGUUGGGCACUCUAAGGUGACUGCCGGUGACAAACCGGAGGAAGGUGGGGAUGACGUCAAAUCAUCAUGCCCCUUAUGACCUGGGCUACACACGUGCUACAAUGGACGGUACAAAGAGCUGCAAGACCCGCGAGGUGGAGCUAAUCUCAUAAAACCGUUCUCAGUUCGGAUUGUAGGCUGCAACUCGCCUACAUGAAGCUGGAAUCGCUAGUAAUCGCGUAUCAGCAUGCCGCGGUGAAUACGUUCCCGGGUCUUGUACACACGCA
rnacentral:rRNA from 1 species